GCUGAAAUAGUUUAAUUGGUUAAAACAUUUCAUUCAUGAUGAUAAAAAGAAGGUUCGAUUCCUUUUUUCGGCU
rnacentral:tRNA from 1 species